UUCUUUUCCCUUCUAAACCUAAACCUAAAUCUCCAAAAUCAAACCCACGAUUUCAGAAAUUCAUUUCUCCUAAUCCGAAUCAAAUCUCAUAAAUCAAAUCAAACUCAAACUUUGAAUCACUCAAACUGGAGGCUGCGGCUGUGUCUCAACUCAGAGAAAAUGGGAUUGUGAAAUGAGAUGACACAGAGAAGGGGAUCUGUGGGUUAUAAUCAAAGCAGAUGAGAAGAAUCGAUGGUGGUAUUAAUUCCGGAGUUGUAGUCAGAUUUAAUCCUGGAUCAAAACCAAUCAAGACAGGGAAGAUGGAAGGAUAAUUCGAAUCUGAGACGGAAGUGGAUUCUGGGUUUGUGUUUCUCAGAGGUGGUGACGGAAAUGAAGAUUGAAGUCCAGAUUCAAUGGGGUUUGAGCUCAAAUUGAAGUUAUGAUGCUGUUGAAGUCGAUGGGGUUUAGGUUGAUUUGGCUGUUAGUGUUGUUGAUUGAGAAGAAACAGAAACUAGGGUUGCUGUGGUGAUUGAGAUGAAUUUCAAAGGGAUUGGGAAAAUGGGUUUGAUGGAUUUUGGGUUCUUGGUUGUGAACUGUUGAUGGGGAUGAUAGAACUGCUGAUGGUGAAAGCUAAAGAAGAAUUAGGGAAAGGUCAUCCAAUUUAGAUGAUUGAAUGGUUUAUCUGUGUUGGCUUGUUGUUAGAAAUUGCAGGGAAGAAGAAUUGUUUGCAGUGAAGGCACUAGUGGUGGCUGAAUGGCGGAAAUUGAAGUGAGAUUUACAGAGAUGGAGAUGGAUGUGAUGUUCCAGAAAUUGUAUGGGUUACUAAAGCUGAAUUGUGAAGGGUGAUGCAACUGUAAGUUAUAGAUAAUGGCUCAGGAUGUGGUGACGGCUGAAGAUUGUCUGAUGAAUUGUUGCUGCCAGUGACUGUUAGAAGCAAGUUCGAGUCAGAUGCUAUGGGUUGUUGCAGGGGACAAGAAAUUGGUGCUGCUGAGUAUAAGAAGUUGUAGGCAUGAACUGAUUGUUGAGUUUGUGUUGCUGCCUAAGAGAAGUUGUACAUGUUCAAUUUCAACGUGGUAGUAACCAAAACGAAGAAACUUGAGAAGCUUUGUCAUGCUGAAUCCUAGUAGCAGAGGUUAUUAACCCCAAAAACAAAGUUUUUGAGCAUUUCAGCGUGGUUGGGGUUGUGGGACAUGCCAAAACUCAUUCUUGUAUCUUGAACCUCGUCGGUGUGCAUUUUGCAGGUCACUCAAUUGCUUGACAGGAUUAAAACCUUCCUUCGUGAAGAUCCUCUUCCAUUUUCUGCUGGUCAGUUGGAAGGGAUGGCAUCACUGAUAAACAUGCAUAUAAAAGUAGCAAGAAGACGCAGGAACAACAAUCUUAAGGUAUUGGUUGAUAGAAUAUAUGAGGAGGCAUCCCAAGCAAAAGAUGUUCCGUGCUUUAAUUCUUAAGUUUAUUAAAAACCAGAUUGCAGGUUUACUUUUGGUUGAGGUUGGGAUGCAAGCUUCUGCAGUUGUGUAUAUUGGGAAACAAAUAGGAGAUGAAAUAGAAGUUAGGGUAGAAAAACCCCAAAUGUCUUAGAAAGUUGUACCCCUUGUUCUCAACUUCAACACAGCACUGGUUUACGUCUUCCCUAAUUGCUCAUUCAAUUGGUGUACGUCUUCCCUAAUUGCUCAUUCGAAAUGGUUGCUGAGGAACCUUAACUAUAGUCUUACAGCAUUAGCAGCACUGAAAUGUGGAGCUUUGCUAUAAUAGCCGAAAAGGCAGUAAAGAUCCCUGACUUCUGUUUGCUGGCUGACCCACCAUAUAUCUACUUAUAUGCAAUUCAUGUAUUCAAUCAUUGGCAGUUACUAUCUUCCCAAACUAGUGUACACAUGCAUCUUGAAUUCUUUCUUCGCUACUCCGUGACGCCUUGUGUUCUUUUUCUCUAUUCCUUUUAAGAGCAAUUGCAGCAGCACGUUGGUGUUCAUGCAAGCGUGCUGGAAGCUUGAGCAAUCUCUCCAAAGUUUAACAGGUGGCAGGAGUGAACAGUUUACUUCUUGGAUGUCUUCCGCGUCUCCAAGCAUCGAUCUCGCAUCACGUUGUUCAACUGCUUGCUCAUCCUGCUACUGCUUGAGAAGGCUGCAAAGACGUAGUUUACGAAGCUAGUAAUGUUAAGGAUGGAUUGGUUCAUUACAUCAUUCAUGUCCAUUCUACCAAGUGCAGAAAAAGAACGAGGUCAUGCUCUAAUUAAUACCUUGUUCAGAAUGGAAUUCAUAACGUUGUAAGAUGAAUGAUUGUCUUAUCAGGUCAGGGAUUAAUAUUAUUUGUAAUACUGGAAUUUCAUAAAUUCAUUACAA